rnacentral:rRNA from 1 species
CGAACGGGUGAGUAACGCGUGGGUAACCUACCUCUUAGCGGGGGGACAACUAUUGGAAACGAUAGCUAAUACCGCAUAACAAUACUUAACACAUGUUAAGUAUUUGAAAGCACCAAUUGGUGCACUAAGAGAUGGACCCGCGUUGUAUUAGCUAGUUGGUAGUGUAAUGGACUACCAAGGCGAUGAUACAUAGCCGACCUGAGAGGGUGAUCGGCCACAUUGGGACUGAGACACGGCCCAAACUCCUACGGAAGGCAGCAG